AGGACGAACGCUGGCGGCGUGCUUAACACAUGCAAGUCGAGCGGUAAGGCCCUUUCGGGGGUACACGAGCGGCGAACGGGUGAGUAACACGUGAGCAAUCUGCCCUUCACUUCGGGAUAAGCCUCGGAAACGGGGUCUAAUACCGGAUAUGACCGCGCUACGCAUGUGGUGUGGUGGAAAGUUCUGGCGGUGGAGGAUGAGCUCGCGGCCUAUCAGCUUGUUGGUGGGUAAUGGCCUACCAAGGCUUCGACGGGUAGCCGGCCUGAGAGGGUGACCGGCCACACUGGGACUGAGACACGGCCCAGACUCCGUACGGGAGGCAGCGAGUGGGGAAUAGUUGGACAAGUGGGACGAAAGCCUGAUCCAGCAACGCCGCGUGGAGGAUGACGGCCGUUCGGGUUACGUAAACCUUCUUUCAGUCCGCCGACGAAGCGAGAGUGACGGUAGGCGACGAGAAGAAGCCGAACCGGCCAAACGUACGUCGACCAGCGACGG
rnacentral:rRNA from 1 species